AGAGUUUGAUCAUGGCUCAGAUUGAACGCUGGCGGCAUGCUUAAUACAUGCAAGUCGAACGGUAACAGGUCCUUCGGGAUGCUGACGAGUGGCGGACGGGUGAGUAAUGCAUAGGAAUCUGCCCAGUAGUAGGGGACAACCUGAGGAAACUCAGGCUAAUACCGUAUAAAUCCUACGGGAGAAAGGGGGCCUCUUCUUGAAAGCUCUCGCUAUUGGAUGAGCCUAUGUCGGAUUAGCUUGUUGGUGGGGUAACGGCCUACCAAGGCGACGAUCCGUAGCUGGUCCGAGAGGACGAUCAGCCACACUGGGACUGAGACACGGCCCAGACUCCUACGGGAGGCAGCAGUAGGGAAUAUUGGACAAUGGGCGAAAGCCUGAUCCAGCAAUGCCGCGUGUGUGAAGAAGGCCUGCGGGUUGUAAAGCACUUUCAGUUGGGAAGAAAAUCUUUAGGUUAAUAUCCUAAAGUCUUGACGUUACCAACAGAAGAAGCACCGGCUAACUCUGUGCCAGCAGCCGCGGUAAUACAGAGGGUGCGAGCGUUAAUCGGAAUUACUGGGCGUAAAGCGUGCGUAGGCGGUUAAGUCAGUCGGAUGUGAAAGCCCAAGGCAUAACCUUGGAACGGCAUUCGAUACUGCUUAGCUAGAGUACAGUAGAGGGAAGC
rnacentral:rRNA from 1 species